rnacentral:rRNA from 1 species
UACGUAGGGGGCUAGCGUUGUCCGGAAUCAUUGGGCGUAAAGAGCGUGUAGGCGGCCAGGUAGGUCUGCUGUGAAAACUCGAGGCUUAACCUCGAGCUGUCGGCGGAAACCAUCUGGCUAGAGUCCGGAAGAGGAGAGUGGAAUUCCUGGUGUAGCGGUGAAAUGCGCAGAUAUACAGGGAGAACACCUAUUGCGAAGGCAGCUCGCUGGGACGUAACUGACGCUGAGACGCGAAAGCGUGGGGAGCAAACAGG